rnacentral:rRNA from 1 species
AGAGUUUGAUCCUGGCUCAGAUUGAACGCUGGCGGCAGGCCUAACACAUGCAAGUCGAGCGGGGUUUUCGGACCUAGCGGCGGACGGGCGAGUAAUGCGUAGGAAGCUACCCGAUAGAGGGGGAUACCAGUUGGAAACGACUGUUAAUACCGCAUAAUGUCUACGGACCAAAGUGUGGGACCUUCGGGCCACAUGCUAUCGGAUGCGCCUACGUGGGAUUAGCUAGUUGGUGAGGUAAUGGCUCACCAAGGCGACGAUCUCUAGCUGGUUUGAGAGGAUGAUCAGUCACACUGGAACUGAGACACGGUCCAGACUCCUACGGGAGGCAGCAGUGGGGAAUAUUGGACAAUGGGCGCAAGCCUGAUCCAGCCAUGCCGCGUGUGUGAAGAAGGCCUUCGGGUUGUAAAGCACUUUCAGCGAGGAGGAAGGGUUGGUAGUUAAUAGCUGCUAAUUUUGACGUUACUCGCAGAAGAAGCACCGGCUAACUCUGUGCCAGCAGCCGCGGUAAUACAGAGGGUGUAAGCGUUAAUCGGAAUUACUGGGCGUAAAGCGCACGCAGGCGGUUGGUUAAGUCAGAUGUGAAAG